CCUACGGGAGGCAGCAGUGAGGAAUAUUGGUCAAUGGACGAGAGUCUGAACCAGCCAAGUAGCGUGAAGGAUGACUGCCCUAUGGGUUGUAAACUUCUUUUAUAAAGGAAUAAAACGAGGCACGUGUGCCUUUUUGCAUGUACUUUAUGAAUAAGGAUCGGCUAACUCCGUGCCAGCAGCCGCGGUAAUACGGAGGAUCCGAGCGUUAUCCGGAUUUAUUGGGGUUAAAGGGAGCGUAGAUGGGUUGUUAAGUCAGUUGUGAAAUUUUGCGGCUCAACCGUAAAAUUGCAAUUGAUACUGGCAGUCUUGAGUACAGUUGAGGUAGGCGGAAUUCGUGGUGUAGCGGUGAAAUGCUUAGAUAUCACGAAGAACCCCGAUUGCGAAGGCAGCUUACUAAACUGUGACUGACAUUGAUGCUCGAAAGUGUGGGUAUCAAACAGGAUUAGAUACCCCGGUAGUC
rnacentral:rRNA from 1 species